UCUUGAGUUGCGGUGAAGUGGCUGGAAUAUGUGGUGUAGCGGUGAAAUGCAUAGAUAUCACAUAGAACCCCGAUUGCGAAGGCAGGUCACUAACCGCCGACUGACGCUGAUGGACGAAAGCGUGGGGAGCGAACGGGAUUAGAUACCCCGGUAGUCCACGCCGUAAACGAUGGACACUAGCUGUCGGGCCGAUUUAGGUUCGGUGGCCAAGCGAAAGUGAUAAGUGUCCCACCUGGGGAGUACGUCGGCAACGAUGAAACUCAAAGGAAUUGACGGGGGCCCGCACAAGCGGUGGAGCAUGUGGUUUAAUUCGAUGAUACGCGAGGAACCUUACCAGGGCUUAAAUGUAGUGGGACAGGCUUAGAGAUAGGCUCUUCUUCGGACUCAUUACAAGGUGCUGCAUGGUUGUCGUCAGCUCGUGCCGUGAGGUGUCAGGUUAAGUCCUAUAACGAGCGCAACCCCUACCGUUAGUUGCCAGCGAGUAAUGUCGGGGACUCUAACGGAACUGCCGGUGCAAACCGCGAGGAAGGUGGGGAUGACGUCAAAUCAUCACGGCCCUUACGUCCUGGGCUACACACGUGCUACAAUGGCCGGUACAAUGAGCAGCCACGUCGCAAGGCGGAGCGAAUCUAUAAAACCGGUCACAGUUCGGAUCGGGGUCUGCAACCCGACCCCGUGAAGCUGGAAUCGCUAGUAAUCGGAUAUCAGCCAUGAUCCGGUGAAUACGUUCCCGGGCCUUGUACACAC
rnacentral:rRNA from 1 species